GCCGUUUUAGCUAAGUGGUAUAGCGCGUCACUUGUACAGCACGCCCACCCGCGUUCCGUCAUGACGAGGUCCACGGUUCGAUCCCGUGAAGCGGCA